AAACAAAGAUUGAAAUAAAAACGAAACACUCGUCACUGCUCCGAAGCUAUGUACCCUCACAAACGUGGUAGCUACCAGGUUUUCCAUGCUGAUAAGUCUAAUCCAACACUCAAAGUAUCCCUUUGGCGAAUGCAACAAGGAAAAGACAACAUUUCAUCAGAAAAUUUCGACAAUCAAAGUGUGGCAUGUGAAACUGCUGGCCCUGUCGCCAUUAUGAUUAUCGAUGCCUUCCAUGAGAAAUCAUUUAACCAGUUGCUUCAAGAUGUUGCUGAAGAACCUGCUUUCUUGCCAUAUCAUAUAUGUUGACGGAGAUUCAGAAUGAGACAAAGAGUUUGAUAUAUGAUCCUACACCUGACAGAAAAAGUUGAGGAUCUUGGACCACUUUGGUGCUCAUCUUGUUUCUAUUUUGAGGAUUGUAAUGGAUAAUUGAGAUGCCUUUUCCAUGGCAUCCAACAUAUUGAAACCCAAAUAGCAUUUGCGGUUUGUGUUCAUCAGCAGCUACUGACGUUGUCCCAAGCUCUGAAGUUUGACAGCAGUGAAAGGGAACAGACAGGGUUGCUGUUAUUGGAGCCUAUGUAAAAGACCUUUGAAAUCUGAGGAACAGGCAGUCCUUUUGACCUUAGCUGGAGAGUAGGUCCGUGUGGUUUUCUUCAAAAGACUACUUGUGGACGAACAGGUUGAGACAACAAAAUAAUUCGAUUCAAGGAAACGUUCAUUGGGAGAUUAGAAACUUUUGUUAAAGUAACAGGACAUGACUACAAAUGAAAAACUUUGUUUUGUUUUCACAGUUCCUAACAGGAUUGAACAGGAAUAUAACAUGAACAAUGUUCAAUGUCCAGAACAGAGACAUCAUAUAACAGUCAAACCUUGUUUUGUGUCACAUUUACCAAUGAGAUUUGAAUAUAGAAAUAUUUUUUGAUACUUUUUUGGAAAAGACGUUUUUAUAUAUAUGCCUUAUCAAAAUCAAAUUAAUAAUUUGAUUUUGAUAGACUAUGCAUACCUAAAUUGAUGAAUAGUGUCUCUUUUAACAUGGAACAGAAGUCCAUAUGGACUUAUUUUUAAUAAAUACUGUGACAUAUCUCA